rnacentral:rRNA from 1 species
CAGCAGUAGCCGCGGGAAUACGUAGGUGGCAAGCGUUGUCCGGAAUUAUUGGGCGUAAAGGGCUCGCAGGCGGUUUCUUAAGUCUGAUGUGAAAGCCCCCGGCUCAACCGGGGAGGGUCAUUGGAAACUGGGAAACUUGAGUGCAGAAGAGGAGAGUGGAAUUCCACGUGUAGCGGUGAAAUGCGUAGAGAUGUGGAGGGACACCAGUGGCGAAGGCGACUCUCUGGUCUGUAACUGACGCUGAGGCGCGAAAGCCAGGGGAGCGAACGGGAUUAGAUACCCCCGUAGUCCCUGUCUCUUAUAC